CGUUAUUCGGAAUUACUGGGAUUAAAGAGUUCGUAGGCGGCGUGUUAAGUUGGGUGUGAAAUCCCUUGGCUCAACCAAGGAAUUGCGCUCAAAACUAGCAUGCUUGAGGAAGACAGGGGUAAGCGGAACUGAUGGUGGAGCGGUGAAAUGCGUAGAUAUCAUCAGGAACACCGGUGGCGAAGGCGGCUUACUGGGUCUUUUCUGACGCUGAGGAACGAAAGCUAGGGGAGCGAACGGG
rnacentral:rRNA from 1 species